UAAAGGUAGUCUGAAAAAUAAGAAUUGUGCUUGAAAAGGUAUUUCAAAAUAACAUUUAAUAGUAUUAGAAGAAUUGCAUUCAAAUACAGUAUCAAAUACACUUAACCAUUACUUAAUGCUCUAUUUCAAAUUCUGCUGUUCUUUGGCAGUUACCUUGGUUGCACCUACUAUUUUUUUUCCUUCAGGAAAAUGAAAUCCUUUUGAAUAUUUAAAUACAUCUCCCUCUGUGUAUCAUGCAUUGCGGCUGUGCUAUCUCAAAGCUGAAGUAUCCAAGAGAGAAAGCUAAGCUUGGUUAUUCUGAAAACAAGCAAAGAACUACACAGCAAAGCAAAAGCAUUUUCUCUCCUGUUCUUGAUACCGAGUUCUAGGCAAAGGUUUUCAGAUUCAUCUACAGUUAAGUUAUUCUGCUUUGACAGUACCAGUGUUAGAGCAGUACAAUCCCCCUUCAUGUGGAUUUAACAGCAGUGGCAUAAGAAGUAAAAUGACUACAGUCAGUCCCAUAUAGAAAAGGAAUAAAGUUAUACUGCUAGAGAUACUUUUAGGCCUAUGUAACUGUGCCCCUCCACCAUCCAAGUAGGAUUUUUUUUUUAGUUAGAGCCCUUUCCUCCUUAUUAAUGUGCUAUUUAUAAUAAGAUCUGCUUCUAUACUAAAUUUUAAAGAACUUUUUCUUCUUAAGAAUGAGAUUCUGCUCCAGUGAAAGGAUUCUGCAAGUCACAAAUAUCUGAGGCCAUUUAAAGCAGCCAUCUGAAGAACCACAGAACAAAGUUCAACACCACAGCUGAGGAGGAAGUGAUUGACGUCCGAUCCCCCAAACAUCUGAAGUACAGGCAGCCAGAAUGGGACAUUCCCUUUCAAGGGGAAGGAUGACAAAACCCUCCAUCUAAGUAACUGGUUCACCACCUCCAGUUAGCGAGGAAACUACGUGAAGACACAGCAAAAACAAGAGUGAUGAAUUCCAGUACCCAGCACGUUUACCUCAGUGGUGAUGUUCCAAAUAACGCAAGUAGCAUGUACCAGUCUACAGGUAUAUCUUACAAAACCAAUUUCUCUGGAGGCAAAGGUGUUUAAAAAAAAAAAAAAAAAAAGCAGACAAAGCUCUUCACCAUGACAAAUAUGAUAAACUUCCCCUCCCAGACAAAUGAGCAUUGCAAAAUCAGUCAGAUAAUCCACUAAGUAUGAAAAUUCAAUGGAGUCCAUCUCCUGAUUUAAAAAACUAAGCCUUUUGUUGUAUGUGUUGCUACGAUGGUCCUUAUCUGCUGGCCAUCAGAAGUGUCCUUCAGGCAGGCAGCUGCGCUGUUUUGUGGUAGAACUAAUCCCUGUCUCCCAUGUCCUGGGCGGUGGUAGCAGUGCAGUUCCAAAAUAAGCCGCACCUUGAACAUCACUGUAGUCAUGGCACUGUGAUGAUCCCCCUACCUCUUUUAACACCUAGGAACAGCCAAAUACAUUCUUUUGUAUAUAAAGUGUUCUUUAAAAAAAAAGAAUCUUAUUUUCAUUUUAAUUAGGCUGUUGGUAUACAGCAAUUUAUAUUUUUACAGAAUUAUCUUCAUUUAGUUGCAUUUCAGAAGCUGCAAAGUGACCUUAGUCACUGAAAGAACAAAAUUUUUUAAUUUAAAAAACUGAAUUCGAAAAUUUUUAGUCAAUUAACUAAAAUAAAAAACCCUCAAGUAAUGUAAAUUACAAAAUGUUGCUGCAUAGAUUUGUCUUUUAUGCAUGUUUGUCUUUUAUUUAGGAAUCACUAAUCCUGGAGAAUGCUAUUAUAGUACAGAGUUGAAAUUACAAACAUGAACACAGUCCCAAAGGCAGCUUAAAAUACUUACUUGAGAAGUUACUGGAUAAAUGGUACAGUUGCUACUUUCACCAAGUCAAAAAUAUUCUUCCUUUAUUUACAAGAUUUCUUUAAUCCUUCACAUUGAAAACAAAUAAAAGAAUACAGUUACUAUGAUAAAUUACCACUAAACUGUACUGUUUUUCCCCCCACAGGAACUGAAGAAUCCUGCUUUUUAACACCAACUUGGAAGCCUGGAUUAUUGAAGAGCACUCCACAACAGGAAUAAAACCCAAAAUGUAGUUUCAAAACUUGGGAAAAAAGAAGAGAAGAAUUGCAGUAAAGUUUUCCCUUUUUUCACUAUUUAUUCACCACGAGCCAAGUGUCCCAUGUGUGGCUUAACUUUCCAUAUUUUCAAGGAAGUCACAUUCAACACUCUCUUCAAGCUGUUGCAAGAUCUUUAUGCCAUUACUGCCAAUGUAGUCCAUAGAGAGAGAUGUAGAAGCAUGUGAAGUCUGGGACUCGCUCCCGUUUGUUGUAAAUGCGCAACACAGGGUCUUGAAGAAGGGCAUAAGCUGCGUGAUGCUACAUACAGAGCGGAAGUUCAAAAGAGGAAAUUUGUGCUUCUUGGAAAGUCCCUCAGUGUUGUUUGUUUCCUGUAAGCAAACAAACCGAGAUUUACCAAAGGUUUUGGAUUAAGACACAAUGUUGUUAGGGCUUGUCUGAACCCUGUACUAUACACUUUUUUCAUACUAAGAGAUCCACAGCCUACAACUAUAUCACGAUAUAAAUUGUAUAGAUGGUAUACUGAAUUAUGUCCAUAUUUGGAUUCGAGGUUCCAUUAAACGGACGUCUCACAAGUUCAGAAGACUGCAAAUUUGGACUAGCCUUCAGAAUUAGGUAUCAAACAACAACAGAAUACAGAGAUAUCUCUGAGAAAUACUAAUGCCCCUAUUUUCUUUCCUGGAAGAAUUAAUAUUCAACCUUAAUGGUAAUUGAAAAUGCUGUUAUGGUAAACUUUCUUGACAAAGUACAGCAUGCUCUUUUCUAUAAA